rnacentral:rRNA from 1 species
CCGCCGGCGACCGGCGCACGGGUGAGUAACACGUAUGAAACCUGCCCGUAGCAGGGGGAUAAGCGGAAGAAAUUCCGUCUAAUACCGCGUAACAACCCGAGGAGGCAUCUCCUCGGGUUUAAAGGAAGCGAUUCCGGCUACGGAUGGUCAUGCGUCGCAUUAGCUAGUUGGCGGGGUAACGGCCCACCAAGGCGACGAUGCGUAGGGGUUCUGAGAGGAAGGUCCCCCACACUGGUACUGAGACACGGACCAGACUCCUACGGGAGGCAGCAG